rnacentral:lncRNA from 10 species
ACACAGACUUCAAAUAUCUUUGGGAAUUUGUGCUCCUUAUUUACUGAGUGCUUGAGAAGAAAAGACAAAGCCAGUGGAAUGGUCCGAGUGUGGCAUCCGCUGCAUUUAUAAAGAAUAAGAGCUGCAGUGGGUGUGAUUCUUGGACAGAGUGGCGCUCAUCCUUGUUCCUGCAAUGAAGGACAUGCCAGCCUCCAGGCUCUUUGACAGAUGAUUGGAACUGUGCAAAUAUUAUGGAAGAUACCCCGUGUCAAGAAGCUGACAGCACACACGUUUGGGAAGGAUUUAGUGGCUGAAGCACUUCUAGAAGACAUCACCAAAAUGAAACAGUCUACUAUCAGCAAAGAAUGCCAGAGCAAGAGUGUGAAACAGAGAGCACAGAGCCGUGAUGCUGCCCCCUGCCGGUGGUGCAGGAGAAAGGACGCAACCUCAGUCUACGACUCCUGCCAAGAUUAUCAGCCACGCUAGAAACUAAAGGGUGAAAACAGGGUUUCUCUGCUGCAAUUCCAUCUCUUCCUCUAGAAACUUGUCGUAGGAAUGACUCCCUGUAACUUCCCACACCUGCCUCUUCUUUCUGUAAGUGUUGGCUAACAGAAUCCCCUCCUUCCUCGGUCCUUGCUAAGUGACUGAAUUCAGAAACUCCUGGACAAUAUUACAACCAUCCGUAUUACUGGUCUUUGGCGCUCUAGACUUAUUUUAGAAAGAAAAAUGUGGCAAAUCAUCCAAGAAUUUUCCUGUGCACAGCAUAGGGAUCUGUUUCUCUUACCAUCAGAAAGGGAUUCAUAGUCAUAAUCAUAUUCGUCCUCCUCAUCUUCCUCUUCCUCAUUAUUGGCAGGUCGGGGGUUGGCAUUCCCACCAUUAUAAGCCUGCACUUGCAUAGAUGCUAACUGAUGAGCCUGUAAAAUAGCAAUAAUUGUAAACUGCAGAUGCCAAGUUAAUGAAUUCAUUUAUAACCUUUAAAACUACCCCUGAUGUUUAACACAAUCGUUAAAAGUGGCUUAACCUAUUUUGAUACAUUUGGGAGAGGAGAAAAAAAUCUAGAUUCCCUCGAAAUGCAAUGUCAACACUUGGGUGAACGUUAGCAUUCCUACAGGAAGAAUCCUGGAGCUUUUAUAAACAAUCUCCAGAAGACUGUGUGCAGUGCCCAGCUAGCCAGGUUCCCAGGACAACCCCUCCAAGAGAAAGCUUUGGUGAUUUGGAGAACCAGCAUCAAUCCCAAGUGACUGAAGAAGUGAAUCACCCAUCAAUUUUUCAGAAGUAUGUCUCUGUUAAGAAACCAUUUUUUCCCCUUCUUAAAAUAAUAUCUACAGGCUCCUGACCUUGAGAACAAUAUUAGAAUCCCUAUGGACAAAGAGGCCAAAAGAAUUGUUGUU